AGUGACAUGCAGUUUACAUGGUGGAACAAAUGUAGCCGGGCACACGGAGCUGGACCCUGGCCCAUAAGGUCAGCUCGCUUCCAAAAGCACGGCCCUUAUCCAGCCCAAGGACGAGGCAGCAUCGCCGCACGUUACCUAGACAACCAGCACACACAUUCAACUGUAUUCAUAUGAAGUGUGUGGCUGCGGACACGGAAAGAAAGGAAGGAAUCUACCACCAACAGAGUCUGAGCCCAGCAACAUGCCUACACAGCUCAAGGGCAUCAUUACUCAAUUCCGAGCUCUUUUGUUUGCUGAAAUUCCCAGCUCUCUUAAGACAGGCAUUUAUUACAUGGUCCACUUUAACAUCCUUCACUUAUUACUAUUAUUUACAUUUUUUUUUUUUACAAAUUACACAAAUCAACACGAUGCAUAUUAUGCAUUCAAAUAUCUAUCUAGCGGAGAUCACAUUGUGAAUAUUUACAAUUGUGAUCAGCAGAAGUAAAUUAGUUACGUUUACUUGCUUCCACUGAUUUACUUGUUUAAUCAACCUUCAUUAAUGUUUUGUGGUCUGAAAAGGUCUCUGUUUGCUAAAGGAGAUUUAAUUGUGUUCCCACGGGACACUGCUUCAUCUUUAGCUUCAUUCUGCAUGAGAUAUAUUCUCGUAUUUCAUUAAGUAAUACCACUUCCAAAAAGGAAAAAAGUCCCUCCUAGCGCACUCCCGUUCUGUCUGUAUUUCUGUCUCUCUCUCUCACUAAUUGGCUGCAAACACAACGUGGCACGCUGCAUCUUUCCCUGCAGCUCAACAUAGUCUUUUAAUCUUAAAGAAGCCCCUCAGUGAUUACUUCAGCGGGCUUCAGUUAAACAUCAAGGCGCAUACUCACACAUGCGUGCGCGCACUCGCACGCACACACACUGAUUCUGCUACUGCUGUGAGCAUUAAAAAGGGAGAGGGACCCAGACAUCAAGAGACACAGAGAGAAGAAGUCUGUCUCAGGUUCAACCAAGGUUGUCUCCCCACAUUUCAAAAAGAGCCUCAGCACAGAGCACGGUGGGACAUCACAUCAAGUUCGUUACAUGAUUAUCCUCUAGCAUGGCUAGAAGCAUUGAUUGUACCUUGUUGCUGUGAGCUCCUGGUCCACAAGGCUGACAUGCCUCUUGGCCGUAUAUGUGGUGUCCUGAGAGG